GUGGGGAAUAUUGCACAAUGGGGGGAACCCUGAUGCAGCAACGCCGCGUGAGUGAAGAAGUAUUUCGGUAUGUAAAGCUCUAUCAGCAGGGAAGAAAAUGACGGUACCUGACUAAGAAGCCCCGGCUAACUACGUGCCAGCAGCCGCGGUAAUACGUAGGGGGCAAGCGUUAUCCGGAUUUACUGGGUGUAAAGGGAGCGCAGACGGCGCUGUAAGUCAGAAGUGAAAACCCCGGGCUUAACCUGGGGACUGCUUUUGAAACUAUAGUGCUCGAGUACUGGAGGGGCAGGCGGAAUUCCUGGUGUAGCGGUGAAAUGCGUAGAUAUCAGGAGGAACACCGGUGGCGAAGGCGGCCUGCUGGACAGAGACUGACGUUGAGGCUCGAAAGCGUGGGGAGCAAACAGGAUUAGAAACCCUAGUAGUCC
rnacentral:rRNA from 1 species